GCCCGCUUGGCUCAGUGGUAGAGCGUGUCACUAGUAAGGACUAGUGUAAUGACAAGGUCAUCAGUUCGAUUCUGAUAGUGGGCA
rnacentral:tRNA from 1 species